AUGGCUAAGUUCUGGUGGAGUGGGUCUCUUGAUCGCAGUUCUUUGCACUGGGUGGCAUGGGACAAACUCGCAUCUCCAAAAGCCCGAGGUGGCAUGGGUUUCCGUGAUUUGGAAUUGUUCAAUCUGGCGCUUUUGGGCAAACAUGGAUGGAGAUUUAUUACAAACCCUAACUCUCUAUGUGCUAGGGUCAUGAAAGGACGCUAUUUUCCCGAUUGUGAGUUCAUGGAAGCCACGGUUCCACAGGGUGCUUCCGCGAUUUGGCGAGCUAUUGUGUCAUGAAGGGAAGCACUUACAACUAGUUUGAUCAAAAGAGUGGGCGAUGGAGCCUCUAUUUCUAUUUGGGAGGAUCGAUGGAUCCCGGGUCUUUUCACUUUAUCUCCGUCGGUCAUACCUGGUGAUACUACUCUUGCCACGGUUGAUCAACUUAUUGAUUCUGGAAACUGGACAUGGAGGCAAGAGUUGGUUCGACAGUUUUUUACUCCACCACAAGCCGAAGCUAUACUGAACAUACCUUUGCGCCAUGGUGGUGGUGAUGAUUUCCUGGCUUGGGCCCAUGAAAGAAGUGGUAUCUACUCUGUGAAAUCCGCGUACCGUGCUCUCGUGACUCGGAAAGAGCGUGUUGCUCUAGAGGAAGGGACGGUGACCAAUACCUCACAGACCGAUGAACAGAUGUGGAAACUACUAUGGAAGCUCAAGGUCUUGCCUAAGGUACGUGUAUUCUGGUGGAGGGUUAUCCGAGGUAUCCUACCCGAUGAAUGCACUCUCCGGCAUCGACAUAUCAAAGUCAUCAGUAGAUGCAAUAUUUGUCUUGCGAUGGAUGAGGAUUUGAUGCACGCUCUAGUGUACUGCUCUCAUGCCAAGAUGUUUUGGGAUCAAGCUCAUUCGAUGUUUGGCAUCCGAAGACCUCGGCUGCACCCAAAUACAUGGUCACGUGAUAUCCUUUGUGAUGGGCUUUUUUCUAAUAGCGAGAGGGCUAUUAUGAUCACGGUUACGUGGUCUAUUUGGCAUUCAAGAAACAGGGUUACACAUGAUGACGAACAGCUCGACCAGGUUUCUACUGUCAAACGCAUCAGGGAGGAUCUUGCUCUCCUUGAUAUACCGAGGCUCAUGCGUCCAUUCUGCCUGGUCAUGGCUGGGUACCGCCAGAUGAUGGAGUGGUGA
rnacentral:rRNA from 1 species